rnacentral:rRNA from 1 species
GACGAACGCUGGCGGUGUGCCUAAUACAUGCAAGUCGAACGCAGUGGGGACGGGUGAGUAAAACGUGGGUAACCUCCCAUCAGACGGGAUAACCCUUGGAAACAGGUGCUAAACCGAUAUUGACGUAUCGACCCGCGGUGGAUUAGCUAGUGGGUGAGGUAACGGCUCACCAAGGCUACGAUGCAUAGCUGGCCUGAGAGGGUGACCGGCCAAACGGGGACUGAGACACGGCCCAGACUCCUGCGUGAGGCAGCAGUGGGGAAUUUGGGACAAUGGGGGAAAGCCUGAUCCAGCAAUCCCGCGUGUACGAGGAAGGCAUUCGGGUUGUAAAGCACUUUUGGCAGGGAAGCGGUACCUGAAGAAGAAGCACCGGCUAACUACGUGCCAGCAGCCGCGGUAAUUC